rnacentral:rRNA from 1 species
GACGAACGCUGGCGGCGUGCUUAACACAUGCAAGUCGAACGGAAAGGCCCUGCUUGCCGGGUGCUCGAGUGGCGAACGGGUGAGUAACACGUGGGUGAUCUGCCCCUUACUUUGGGAUAAGCCUGGGAAACUGGGUCUAAUACUGGAUAGGACCAUGCUGUAGGUGGUGUGGUGGAAAGAUUUUUUCGGUAAGGGAUGAGCUCGCGGCCUAUCAGCUUGUUGGUGGGGUAAUGGCCUACCAAGGCGUCGACGGGUAGCCGGCCUGAGAGGGUGGACGGCCACAUUGGGACUGAGAUACGGCCCAGACUCCUACGGGAGGCAGCAGUGGGGAAUAUUGCACAAUGGGCGCAAGCCUGAGGCAGCGACGCCGCGUGGGGGAUGACGGCCUUCGGGUUGUAAACUCCUUUCAGCCAUGACGAAGCCUCUUUUGGGGUGACGGUAGUGGUAGAAGAAGCACCGGCUAACUACGUG